UCCAGACUCCUACGGGAGGCAGCAGUGGGGGAUAUUGCACAAUGGAGGAAACUCUGAUGCAGCGACGCCGCGUGAGGGAAGACGGUCUUCGGAUUGUAAACCUCUGUCUUUGGGGAAGAAAAUGACGGUACCUGACUAAGAAGCCCCGGCUAACUACGUGCCAGCAGCCGCGGUAAUACGUAGGGGGCAAGCGUUAUCCGGAAUUACUGGGUGUAAAGGGAGCGUAGACGGCGACGCAAGUCUGGAGUGAAAGCCCGGGGCCCAACCCCGGGACUGCUCUGGAAACUGCGGCGCUGGAGUACGGGAGGGGCAGGCGGAAUUCCUGGUGUAGCGGUGAAAUGCGUAGAUAUCAGGAGGAACACCGGCGGCGAAGGCGGCCUGCUGGACCGUGACUGACGUUGAGGCUCGAGAGCGUGGGGAGCAAACAGGAUUAGAUACCCGUGUA
rnacentral:rRNA from 1 species